rnacentral:lncRNA from 1 species
GCCCGCGAUGCGGUCACAGGGCCCGCCGCCCUGUCAGACUUACAGCGGCGGAACAGCACUCGGUUGAGUUCAUAAUGGAGUUAGAUGUACACGGCGGCCCGUAGCCCCCCGGAACGUCGAUCAACCCGACCGCUGCCCUGUUUGGCUUGAACUUCACCUUCCCUCUACUGCGCGAUUUCCCCCGUGCGUGCCUUGGAAGUCCUCAAGAUCUCGCGAGAACUCUGCCCUCUAGCAGUGAGGCCUUGAAAGUUCCUGUAGGCCUCUUGGCUCUCCGCUGCUCACUAUGGCGUUGUUUGUUUCUUGUUGUGUUUUGGGGUUUGUUCUUCCGUCCUCUCCCGCGCUCCACCUUUUCCUGUCGUUUCCGAGCUGUGGCGGUUCUCCGGUUUAAUUAGCUCUUGCUUUCUCCGAGGGCAGCCUUUCUGGGACCGGAGUUAGGCGGAAAGAGGCCCAAAACCAAGAGGGCAGCGGGUCACGUGGCCACAGGUGUCCCGUGGAGUGGCCAUUUUGUGCAGUAGGAAACGGUUGCUUGAAUACAGUGUUCGGAAUGGGGGGCGGGGUAGGGGGAAGGGGCGGUUGGUGGCAAGGGUGGGGUCGGGGAGGUAAAGGGGAGUGAAGAAUGUGUUUCCCUUAAGACCAAGUAAGGACAGAAAGCUCGAACCUGUUGACCAGGGGGAGGGGGCCACUCCACAGUUGCCCAGACCCCGCUUGGAGACCAUGGAAAGGGCGCUGACAACCGGUGGUAGCACUGGUUCCACAGAGUAAACGACACACGGAAACCAAGAGAUGCUGCCUUGCAUCUCCUAGUGCCGGGUAUUCGGAACCCUUAACUCCUCAGAUCCAACCUGAGUGGGAUUCACCCCGGAUCCGCGACCUGACGUGGCCCUGCUCCUGCAGCCACAGCUCUGCAUCUCCCUGGUGUGCAGGUUGAGGGUUGCUGGAGGGGCUCCUGCUCUGCACAAACACCUUGGCCAUCCUGCUUAGUAUGGGGCAAGGAGAGAGGGCUUGUGUAUUUCGAAAUAACUCCACGAUGGGUGAUUUGGGCCAAAUAGUGUUUAAAGAUGUGGCUUUGACCGUGGGUUCCCUUGGAAGUCUAAGGGAUGGUGCGAAAUGUGUGCCACUCAUUUUUGUGCAAGAUAUUUGUAAUCUGGAAAGAUGACUUGGCACUUAAGAGCACUUGCUGCUCUUGCAGAGGAGGGGACUUGGUUUCCCAGCACCCACAUCUGAUGGCUCACAACUGUUAUUAACGUUAGUUCCAGGGGAAUUUGAUGCCCCCUUCUGGCACCCCAGCAGUCACACAUAAAACUGCAAGCACAUACAUAGACACAUAAAUUUUUAAAGUGGUUUAAUAACUGCAACAGAAAAGAUCAUUACUGGUUUAUUUCAUAAUAGAUGUUGUACAUCCUGCUUCUGCCAUAUAUAAAUGUUAAUUGAAAAUAGGGCUUCUCUCUCUCUCUCUCUCAGAAGCUUUAGAAUCUAGGCUAAAAUGACUGACCAAUAUGACCCUAUAUAUUGAAUAUGAUGUAUGGGGUACAGAAGAGAGUGGAUGAAGGAUGUUUGUUUUCAUGGGUUCUUCUAGGAUCUUUAACCCCACAGUGGACAGCUGAUAAACGAAGUCAGUAUACCCAGGAGAGCAGAGAUCAGAAACAUAGACAAAGAGGGGAUUCCUUGAUCCCAUUAAGUCUGAGGUCUGCCUAACCUUUGAAACUGAAUUAUAUGAACUGUUAGGUCCUUUGUAUCUUUAUGCCAUUUUAAAAUGGAUUUAUUUUUUCAUGACAGGGUUUCUCUGUGUCCUGGAACUCACUUUGUAGACCAGGCUGGCCUCGAACUCAGAAAUCCACCUGCCUCUGCCUCCUGAGUGCUGGGAUUAAAGGCGUGCGCCACCACACCUGGCUUUAAAAUGGAUUUUUAAAGUUACUGAGAACAUAGAGUCCCCAAAUGACACCAGUAUGGGCUACUAAACCAUAAUUAGUCAAAUCUUUUCACCAUAAGAAGUGCAGAAUAAAGGACCAAAGGGAAAAACACCCUGACCCUGACUUAACCUCAAGCUGGAGACCUGGGCCAAGAAACAGAAUCCCACCAAUCCUUGAGCUUACUCCAGAAACCCACCCAUCCCUAAGCGUGCGAGCGCUCUUAAAGUAAAGAAUUGAAAUCCUACCAAUCCUCACCUUGGAACCAUCCAUCUUGAAAGCUCCCCACUUCCCCCAAGAGAUGCCACUGCCCUUUCUGCUCAGGUCCCUGGUGCUGCUCUACCAAGCAGAGCUAUCCACCCUCCUGAGAUCCAGUUUUCCUUCCAAUAGAUCUGUGAGGUUUGUUCUGUGGUGUGACUGCAGUCUUCCUUGAUUCCUGAUUGCCAGGAUAUCUCUGGCAGCAGAGAUGUGAUGUAACACUUCUGCCACAGCCUAGUUUUGGUUGGGAGACCUGCUCCUGCCAGAGCAGAAAUGUUACACUUGCACUGGGGAAACCUUUCUGGGCAGCUGGAGCAGAGCUGUUACAAGAAUGGAAACAGUAUCAACUAGAACUCUGGAAGGCUGCUUAAAAGAACUUUGAAAAUUAGGGAAAGGCCAGAGAGGGUCUUUGGGGUAACUGGGUGAGUUGAGUAACUUUAUUCUGAAUGUCCUGGAGUCUUUACCAACAUUAGUGCUAUGAACCUUCACUACAAGAGCUUCCUUGAUAGCUUUUCUGAUAUUCCUAGGCUCAUGAUCAUGUCAUGGUCAGGGGGUUGGUUAAAUGUUUAGCCUUAUAUUGCUCCAACUCUAAGUUUUAAAAAUUCUUCCUUCAAAUAAAUUAUUGGUGUUGAAUUUCAGGUUGGUAGCUUUCCAGAAUAGCUCUCUUUCUCAGCAGUUCCAUGUUUUACUAUUCCCCUCCCUUUGACUAUAGAAGUGAUAGGGUGGAAUUUCUGUCAUUAGGUUGUAAAACAUCACAGAUCAUCUUGUUGGACUCCUGCACUAUAAAUAAGAAAAACUCAAGCUGUAAAAUAUAAUCUGAAAGGAAUCAUAAAAACAUGUCAUGUUCUGGAUUCUAAACCAUAAUAAGAUGUGAAUAAGACU